AUGUUGAAACUUCACAUUGUGACUUAAACUAGAUCUUCGGGAUGCUAGUGACUAUACCAUGUUAGAGACAUGAGGAUUGGAUACUUGAGACUUGGAUUAUGCUUGCUUGCCAUUUGUGCUCAUUCGCACAUGCUUGUGAGGGUCGCUCCCUACAAGCCGGCACUCUGGAGUUAGCCUACGCGACCUAUGUUCGCCGUGCGGUAUCGAGAAGCCUACGGGGUCGGGAGGGAUAGACUCAUUCCUAGAGUGGGAAUGUUGGGGCUACCACCGACACUUAGGCGGCACAAGCUGGAUUACAAUAUAUAGAUCCUAAAACAUGUUUGAUUAAUGACAUUGAACCGGGAAUGGAUAAUCACUACUAGAUAGGUUUAGUAGUUGAAUUACAUUUAUAUGCUUUUAGCAUAGUGUUGAGACAUGUAGUAUACUUGAUAGUCUUUUAUUGCAUUAAAGCAUACUUGGUUGCCAUGACAGAACUUAUGCAUCAUGUAUUGAUAAAGGUUAAUGACAUUUAACUAUUGCCAUUGGACAUACUAUUAUGAUAUCGUAGAUGUACAUCACCAUGACAUCGUGUAUACUUGAGUUUAGUAAUUUAGCAUUUUAAUUAUGCUUUUAUAUCGCAGUCAUUAUUGCUAUUAUUAUUGUACUUACCCUUUUCUUUUGGGGCC
rnacentral:lncRNA from 1 species